CUUAAAGAAAAACCCACAUGACCUUUAUAAGCCCAUAUAGUUUACACGGCGAAUGAAGUUAAGAGUAUAGCGGAAACAAAAAAGGGUAAAGAGAAUGACGGGGACUAGUUUAAACAAAAAUCCAUAUGAGCUUAUAUUGUUACACGGCGAACGAGGUUAAGAGUAAGGACUAUGACGGGGAGUAGUUUGCAAUGACACCAUUUCCUUAGGCGCAUAUAAACGCCAAUCAAAAGACGUGUGAUGUUGUUUAUAUGGACAUUCUAGAGAGGUCGCAAUGGCACACAAAAAGUUAUCGUUUCUCUAUGGGUUUAGAAGAGCUUUGUCAUAUGGAAAUACUCUGUUUCUAGUUAAUUGCAACAAAGUUGACUCUUUAUGAAAGAACCGCAACAUAGUUUUUUCUCCUGAUAAAACCAGCAUUAAUUUUGUUCAUGGCCUAUUUUUUUUAUUUUUUUUUGACUUGGCUGAUUUGAGGGUACAACUUAGCAGUGUCGUUGCUGUUGGUUCUUAAACCCAUUAUGUGCUGAGCCAGCUGCCGAAGGCAAAUUCUCAAACUUCUCCCUCCUGCUGACAG
rnacentral:lncRNA from 1 species